AGAUGGCUUUAGGGGUGUUCCUGCUAUGGAACUGAGAAUUACUCUUUGAACCUGAUCCGGUUAGUACCGGCGUAGGGAAAAGCAGCAGCUUAGCG
rnacentral:ncRNA from 1 species